GACAGGGGGCUCGAGCGUUAAUCGGAAUCAUUGGGCUUAAAGGGUGCGUAGGCGGGUUGCUAAGUGUUCUGUGAAAUCCCCCGGCUCAACCGGGGAAUCGCAGGGCAUACUGGCAGCCUUGAGGCAUGUAGGGGCGGACGGAACUGUAGGUGGAGCGGUGAAAUGCGUAGAUAUCUACAGGAACGCCGAUGGUGAAGACGGUCCGCUGGGCAUGUCCUGACGCUGAGGCACGAAAGCGUGGGGAGCAAACAGG
rnacentral:rRNA from 1 species